rnacentral:rRNA from 1 species
GGAUGCGAUCAUACCAGCACUAAAGCACCGGAUCCCAUCAGAACUCCGAAGUUAAGCGUGCUUGGGCAGAGUAGUANNNN